rnacentral:misc_RNA from 1 species
AACAAGGCGUACCUGCGGACCUGCGGAAGGAUCAUUACAAGUGACCCCGGUUUGCCACCGGGAUGUUCAUAACCCUUUGUUGUCCGACUCUGUUGCCUCCGGGGCGACCCUGCCUUCGGGCGGGGGCUCCGGGUGGACACUUCAAACUCUUGCGUAACUUUGCAGUCUGAGUAAACUUAAUUAAUAAAUUAAAACUUUCAACAACGGAUCU